GAAUCUUCCGCAAUGGACGCAAGUCUGACGGAGCAACGCCGCGUGAGUGAGGAAGGUCUUCGGAUCGUAAAACUCUGUUGUUAGGGAAGAACACGUACGAGAGUCACUGCUCGUACCUUGACGGUACCUAACCAGACAGCCACGUCUACCUACGUGCCGGCAGCCGCGGUAAUACGUCGGUGGCAAGCGUUGUCCGGAAUUAUUGGGCGUAAAGCGCGCGCAGGCGGCUUCUUAAGUCUGAUGUGAAAUCUCGCGGCUCAACCGUGAGCGGUCAUUGGAAACUGGGGAGCUUGAGUACAGAAGAGGAAAGCGGAAUUCCACGUGUAGCGGUGAAAUGCGUAGAGAUGUGGAGGAACACCAGUGGCGAAGGCGGCUUUCUGGUCUGUAACUGACGCUGAGGCGCGAAAGCGUGGGGAGCAAA
rnacentral:rRNA from 1 species